rnacentral:tRNA from 2 species
GGGUGGUUAGUAUAGUGGCAGUACAACGGUCUCCAAAACCGUUGGCGGGGGUCCGAUUCCUCCACCACCCG